GAAAUAAUCUGUCUUAAUUAAAGAUAUUGAAUUUAACUUUUAAGUGAAAAGGCUUAAAUGAUCUGGAGGGACGAUAAGACCCUAUAAAACUUUAUAUUUAAGAGUAGAAAUUAGUUUUAUUUAAAGUUUGCUGUUUUAUAAUAUUUGGUUGGGGUGACGGGGACAGAAGAAGGAGUAACUGUCUUUUUUUUUUUACAAAGAUAUUUGGUUUAAUGAUCCUAAAAUGGAUUAAAGAUUAAGUUACUUUAGGGAUAACAGCGUAAUUUUCUUUAAGAGUUCUUAUCGACAGGAAAGUUUGCGACCUCGAUGUUGAAUUAAAGGUUCUUUAUAGAGUAGAGACUAUAAUAGAAGGUCUGUUCG
rnacentral:rRNA from 1 species